AUUGAACGCUGGCGGCAUGCUUUACACAUGCAAGUCGGACGGCAGCGGGGUAGUGCUUGCACUACUGCCGGCGAGUGGCGAACGGGUGAGUAAUAUAUUGGAACGUACCGAGUAAUGGGGGAUAACCAAUCGAAAGAUUGGCUAAUACCGCAUACGCUCUGAGGAGGAAAGCAGGGGACCUUCGGGCCUUGCGUUAUUCGAGCGGCCAAUAUCUGAUUAGCUAGUUGGUGGGGUAAGGGCCUACCAAGGCGACGAUCAGUAGCGGGUCUGAGAGGAUGAUCCGCCACACUGGGACUGAGACACGGCCCGGACUCCUACGGGAGGCAGCAGUGGGGAAUUUUGGACAAUGGGCGCAAGCCUGAUCCAGCCAUGCCGCGUGUCUGAAGAAGGCCUUCGGGUUGUAAAGGACUUUUGUUAGGGAAGAAAAAGGAGCGGUUAAUACCCGUUUCUGCUGACGGUACCUAAAGAAUAAGCACCGGCUAACUACGUG
rnacentral:rRNA from 1 species